CCUACGGGAGGCAGCAGUGGGGAAUAUUGCACAAUGGGCGCAAGCCUGAUGCAGCGACGCCGCGUGAGGGAUGACGGCCUUCGGGUUGUAAACCUCUUUCAGUAGGGAAGAAGCGAAAGUGACGGUACCCGCAGAAGAAGCCCCGGCUAACUUCGUGCCAGCAGCCGCGGUAAU
rnacentral:rRNA from 1 species